rnacentral:rRNA from 1 species
AGCAGUCGCCGCGGUAAUACGAAGGGGGCUAGCGUUGUUCGGAUUUACUGGGCGUAAAGGGCGCGUAGGCGGACUGAUAAGUCAGGGGUGAAAUCCCAAGGCUCAACCUUGGAACUGCCUUUGAUACUGUUUGUCUUGAGUUCGAGAGAGGUAAGUGGAACUGCGAGUGUAGAGGUGAAAUUCGUAGAUAUUCGCAAGAACACCAGUGGCGAAGGCGGCUUACUGGCUCGAUACUGACGCUGAGGCGCGAAAGCGUGGGGAGCAAACAGGAUUAGAUACCCCAGUAGUCCCUGUCUCUUAUAC